GUACCCACUUCGGCAGCACAUAUAUUAAAUUGGAAAGAUACAAAGAAGAUUAGCAUGGUCCCUGCAUAAGGAUGACACACAAAUUCAUAAAGUGUUCUAUAUUUUU